GGGGGGAAGAUGCUAUAAGAAAGCAAUUUUAAAACCUGGAAAAUGAUGCAAAAGCAAUUUAAAUCUUUGAAAGGGACAAAAGUAGAUAAUUUUAAAAUUCAAGUGUUGAAAAGACCAUUUUUAAAAUGUUUCAGAGAUAAAAAUGCAAUUUAAAAAUUUUCUCACCAUUUCUGAAAGAUUUAAACAUUAUAUCUUACUAAGAAAACUGUUGAUACCUUCAUCAUGAGAACUACUGAUAACAAAAUUAAAUACAUUACUUAUGAUAUCCAUAACAGUUGUAUCAACACCACUUGCUUGUAUUGCUCAUGCCAGAACCAAUUGAAGUUAAUAUCAACACAAUUAUGGGAAUACAUCAGAUGUCAUGUGAAGUUUACCAAUUUUAAAUCUAUCCCUUAAUGAUUGUCUUCCUGUAUUCCCAUCUUACCAAACAUUAAACACCACUACACUUGUAUUCAUCUAACAGUUCCACCCAUAUACACAUGUACACCCAUCAAAAAAAUGUUGUCACCUUUAUGGUGUGUUACAGUAUGACACAUCACACAAUGAUUUCUGGUAUAACUCAUGCAGUAUGGUGCAAAGUUGGUAACCCUGCUGUGCCAAGUUGCUAGUUACUGGGGAAUUUGUGACUGGCAUAAUAUAUGAUCCUGGUAUGAUGUGGAAAAUGCACUCCAUGAACCAUUAUUUGCUCUACAGAAUGAACUACACUAAAGUGAUAAUAGUAUGGGAUGUUUACAAGGGAGAAGAAUGGAGAGGGGGGGGGACAGGAAGACAUACCAACCUCCACAAGUCAUCACGGCUGCUGUGCCAGUGUUUGUUGCGGUCAAUUUCAGAACCUAGAGUAACAAAAAAUAUUUUGACAGGUGUACUAGCUAACUAACCGGACACUAAACAUUGCUAUCCUGCAGCUAACCAGUCCUUGCAUUCAACUAACAGUCUCAUAGCACCUCUGGAGUUGCUCAGCAAAGAAGAGGAUGCUAGCCAAACCUAUCAUGUUAGUCAGGAUGCACCAGUACAGAGCUGUGUCCAUUGGGGUUGUGUAGGCUAGUAGCAUCUUGUCAAGAUCCUCAUAGGUGGCCACAAACAGUUUAUAGCUAUGAGAGGAGGACUUGCCUUGUGAACAUCACAUUGGGGAAGCCCACCCCAGCAGCCCAGCCUCCCCUGACAGCUGUCAUCAUCUGCUGCCUUGCCUGGGAGGACCAUAGACACAGCUUGUCUCUGAUGUCUUCCCCACAAUGCCUUGUCUUUGUUGGCUUCAGUGCAAUUUGUUUGUCUUCAGUUUAAAUAGUAUUGUAUAUACUAUCUUGUCUUCACCAUCUUGAAAUGUGAAGGAUGUUCUUGACAAACAAACAAGGUAGUAUUGUAUAAUUAUUACUUUAAAUAUUGUCUUAAAUUAUCUUGAAAUUUGUAAAAAAAAAAAAUGUGUAAAAAGAAAGCAAAUACAGAUGAUUAUCUCUGUAGUGAA